UCGGGAUUCAAGCUAGUAUGCAACUGGCUAAACAGUGGAGAAAGCUUGGUUGUUACUGUGGCCCAUCUCUCCUCUAGUGAGCCAAGAUUACACCACUACACUCCAGCCUGGGUGACACAGUGAAACUCCAUCUCAAAAAGAAAAAAGAAUGGAGAGUCAAGGGACUUAUAAGGGUAGCCAACAAGAUGUAAGCAGAAGUCUUAUGGUGUGGCUUCUGGGAAACCUCUCCAAAGGAAUUUCUGAUUAAAUGAAUACAAGGAGGAAGAGAGACUGGCACAAAAUAGAGAGAAUAACCAGUUAUAAAGAGAAAUGAGAUUUAUGACCAAGGCAAGAGAGGAGAGUUUCAAGAAUAAAGAAAUAAGAGAGCUAACAGAAGUCUAGGAAGGACUGAGAGAAGACCUCUGGAAAACUGAUCUUCAGAGAAUGAUCUUUGCAGGAAAUCUCUGUUACCUGAAGAUGAAAAGGAAUGUGAACCAACUCUGAUCCCAAUUCAGACCUUUGCCAACUGACAGUUCAGGUGAAGGCCCUCUGGGGUGACCAGAAAGCAAAGAAAAGAUGAGUAUAUUAUUGCAGAACAGUUCUCUUUCCCUUGGGAUGAAAGAAAAAAUAAAGAAGAGAGCUAAGCCUUGAAAUACAGUUCAUAAAUUUCCAAAACAGAAUAGAUUCCGUUCUCAGGGGCAAGUGGAACAAGCAAGAAGUCUGGAUGCCUUGGGCAGCAGCAACCUACAGUGAGCCAACUGCUUAGUGGAUGCCUGAAAACAAGACCAUCUAAAGAUUUCCCUGUUGCCUCGGCCUAUAAAAUCUGUACCAAGUGACAGAUACAUGAAGUGGUGUGGGUGGCUGGGCAAUGAGGCAAUCAGUGGGAAGAGUGAGCUGGCUGUACCUGUAGGUGUUAAAAAAGGCAAGAGCUGCAUAUGCAAUGAGCCAACAUUAAGUGAAUUUAAGAGUGACUAUUCUCCAUUCUCUUGACUCCCUCAGCUGCCCUUUUAUUAAUUUUUCUCUUCAGGCCUGACCUCAAAUUUAAUUUAUAAUCUAACUCUCCCAUAUAAAAUAUGGAGAGUACAGAUACAGUUUGAAUUACCUGGCCAACACCUAUCACAUGACUGCUUAAGUACCAGGAUCAACACUGUUGAAUAGCUAUGAAGGGAAGAAUCUCUAGAAGCUGGGAAAUUUUGCUAAGUCUGCUAAAAUCCUCUGUGUGGGUAUCUCCCGCAGACUGUGGACACUUGAAACUCUAAUAACCACUUGGCAAUAUUUACAACAAUAAGCCCCUGGUGGCUCCCCUGCAGAAGCAGGUUGAGAAGGGAGGGGAAAGCCACAUAUCACACUUACCAUCUUCUGUUUCCUGCCACACGAUGCCUUCAAGGUUGACGCUAGUUCCAGGUUCA